AUACGAAAGGUGCAAGCGUUGUUCGGAUUUACUGGGCGUAAAGAGAGUGUAGGUUGUUUAUUAAGUCGGAUGUGAAAUCCCUGGGCUCAACCUCGGAACUGCAUUCGAUACUGGUAGACUAGAUUUCGGGAGGGGUAAGCGGAAUUCCGUGUGUAGCAGUGAAAUGCGUAGAUAUACGGAGGAACACCUGAGGCGAAGGCGGCUUACUGGACCGAUACUGACACUGAGACUCGAAAGCGUGGGUAGCAAACAGGAUUAGAUACCCUAGUAGUCC
rnacentral:rRNA from 1 species